CAAUGGGACGCAGGUCUGAUGGAGCACGCCGCGUGAGUGAAGAAGGUUUUCGGAUCGUAAAGCUCUGUUGUUGGUGAAGAAGGAUAGAGGCAGUAACUGGUCUUUAUUUGACGGUAAUCAACCAGAAAGUCACGGCUAACUACGUGCCAGCAGCCGCGGUAAUACGUAGGUGGCAAGCGUUGUCCGGAUUUAUUGGGCGUAAAGCGAGCGCAGGCGGAAUGAUAAGUCUGAUGUGAAAGCCCACGGCUCAACCGUGGAACUGCAUCGGAAACUGUCAUUCUUGAGUGCAGAAGAGGAGAGUGGAACUCCAUGUGUAGCGGUGGAAUGCGUAGAUAUAUGGAAGAACACCAGUGGCGAAGGCGGCUCUCUGGUCUGCAACUGACGCUGAGGCUCGAAAGCAUGGGUAGCGAACAGGAUUAGAUACCCUGGUAGUCCAUGCCGUAAACGAUGAGCGCUAGGUGUUGGGGACUUUCCGGUCCUCAGUGCCGCAGCAAACGCAUUAAGCGCUCCGCCUGGGGAGUACGACCGCAAGGUUGAAACUCA
rnacentral:rRNA from 1 species